rnacentral:rRNA from 1 species
GAUGAACGCUUGCGGGAGGCCUAACACAUGCAAGCCGAGCGGUAUUGUUUCUUCGGAAAUGAGAGAGCGGCGUACGGGUGCGGAACACGUGUGCAACCUGCCUUUAUCUGGGGGAUAGCCUUUCGAAAGGAAGAUUAAUACUCCAUAAUAUAUUGAACGGCAUCGUUUAAUAUUGAAAGCUCCGGCGGAUAGAGAUGGGCACGCGCAAGAUUAGCUAGUUGGUGAGGUAACGGCUCACCAAGGCGAUGAUCUUUAGGGGGCCUGAGAGGGUGAUCCCCCACACUGGUACUGAGACACGGACCAGACUCCUACGGGAGGCAGCAGUGAGGAAUAUUGGUCAAUGGGUGCAAGCCUGAACCAGCCAUCCCGCGUGAAGGACGACUGCCCUAUGGGUUGUAAACUUCUUUUGUAUAGGGAUAAACCUACCCUCGUGAGGGUAGCUGAAGGUACUAUACGAAUAAGCACCGGCUAACUCCGUGCCAGCAGCCGCGGUAAUACGGAGGGUGCAAGCGUUAUCCGGAUUUAUUGGGUUUAAAGGGUCCGUAGGCGGACUUAUAAGUCAGUGGUGAAAGCCUGUCGCUUAACGAUAGAACUGCCAUUGAUACUGUAAGUCUUGAGUAUAUUUGAGGUAGCUGGAAUAAGUAGUGUAGCGGUGAAAUGCAUAGAUAUUACUUAGAACACCAAUUGCGAAGGCAGGUUACCAAGAUAUAACUGGCGCUGAGGGACGAAAGCGUGGGGAGCGAACAGGAUUAGAUACCCUGGUAGUCCACGCCGUAAACGAUGCUAACUCGUUUUUGGGCUUUAGGGUUCAGAGACCAAGCGAAAGUGAUAAGUUAGCCACCUGGGGAGUACGCUCGCAAGAGUGAAACUCAAAGGAAUUGGCGGGGGCCCGCACAAGCGGUGGAUUAUGUGGUUUAAUUCGAUGAUACGCGAGGAACCUUACCAAGACUUAAAUGGGAAUUGACAGCUUUAGAAAUAGAGCUUUCUUCGGACAAUUUUCAAGGUGCUGCAUGGUUGUCGUCAGCUCGUGCCGUGAGGUGUUAGGUUAAGUCCUGCAACGAGCGCAACCCCUGUCACUAGUUGCCAUCAUUCAGUUGGGGACUCUAGUGAGACUGCCUACGCAAGUAGAGAGGAAGGUGGGGAUGACGUCAAAUCAUCACGGCCCUUACGUCUUGGGCCACACACGUAAUACAAUGGCCGGUACAGAGGGCAGCUACACAGCGAUGUGAUGCAAAUCUCGAAAGCCGGUCUCAGUUCGGAUUGGAGUCUGCAACUCGACUCUAUGAAGCUGGAAUCGCUAGUAAUCGCGCAUCAGCCAUGGCGCGGUGAAUACGUUCCCGGGCCU